rnacentral:sRNA from 1 species
UCGCUCUAUGAGCUGGCGCCGAAUCUUG